rnacentral:tRNA from 1 species
GUGAAUGUGGCUUAGUGGUAGAGUGCUUGCCUUGCAAACAUGAAGUCCUGGGUUUGAUUCCAGAAUUCCACA